rnacentral:lncRNA from 1 species
UUUCUAAGUUUAUUUUUUGAAAAUUUUAAUUUUUUUAUUUUUCAAAAUUUGAAAUCUUAUCCCUAAAACCUCAUUUCUCCACUCUAAACCCUAAACCCUAAACUCUAAACCCUAAACUUUAAACCCUAAACCCUAAACUCUAAACCCUAAACCCUAAACCCUAAAUCCUAAAUCCUAAACCCUAAACCCUAAACCCUAAAUCCUAAACCCCACCCUUUAAC